GGGCUCAGUGGUAGAGCAUUCGACUGGAAAUCGAAAUGUUUCCGGGUCAAAUCUGGGUCCCU
rnacentral:tRNA from 1 species